rnacentral:rRNA from 1 species
AUUGAACGCUGGCGGAAUGCUUUACACAUGCAAGUCGAACGAUGAAGUCUAGCUUGCUAGACGGAUUAGUGGCGAACGGGUGAGUAAUAUAUCGGAACGUAUCCAUUAAUGGGGGAUAACUAGUCGAAAGAUUGGCUAAUACCGCAUACGUCCUACGGGAGAAAGCUAGGGACCUUCGGGCCUGGCGUUAAUGGAGCGGCCGAUAUCUGAUUAGCUAGUUGGUGAGGUAAAGGCUCACCAAGGCGACGAUCAGUAGCUGGUCUGAGAGGACGACCAGCCACACUGGAACUGAGACACGGUCCAGACUACUACGGGAGGCAGCAGUGGGGAAUUUUGGACAAUGGGCGCAAGCCUGAUCCAGCCAUUCCGCGUGAGUGAAGAAGGCCUUCGGGUUGUAAAGCUCUUUCGCAAGGGAAGAAAACUUACCCUCUAACAUAGGGUGAGGAUGACGGUACCUUGAUAAGAAGCACCGGCUAACUACGUGCCAGCAGCAGCCGCAGUAA